rnacentral:rRNA from 1 species
UAAUACGUAGGUGGCAAGCGUUGUCCGGAUUUACUGGGCGUAAAGGGCGCGCAGGUGGCUCAUCAAGUCUGGGGUGAAAUCUCCCGGCUCAACCGGGAGGGGUCUCUGGAUACUGAUGGGCUAGAGGGAAGCAGAGGAGAGCGGAAUUCCCGGUGUAGCGGUGAUAUGCGUAGAUAUCGGGAGGAACACCAGUGGCGAAGGCGGCUCUCUGGGCUUUUCCUGACGCUGAGGCGCGAAAGCGUGGGGAGCAAACCGGAUUAGAUACCCGGGUAGUCCACGCCGUAAACGUUGGGUACUAGGUGUGGGGGGUAUUGACCCCCUCCGUGCCGUAGUUAACGCAAUAAGUACCCCGCCUGGGGAGUACGACCGCAAGGUUA